AGUCUUCUGUAUGCGUGCUGAGAUUUCGUCACACACCAGACCACAAGAGCUGCUGAGACUCCCGAGAUAUGUGAAGCG
rnacentral:pre_miRNA from 1 species